CACUAUUCUAUUUUCGUCUAACGCAACUUCGUGUACGUUAUACAUCUCCCCAUUAAUAAUGCGCUAAUUACUCAGCCAAUCUUCAUUUUUGAUUGACUUACUAUUUUCUAUUACUAUAUGAUAAUAACUAUAAUUAUUUCAAUAACCUCACGCAGAGAAAAUCAAAAGAAAAACGCCCAGUUGGUCGUAUCUACUGUGUAGAGAUCAUUGUUUUUCGCUUGAAGCAGAAUAUUUCUUAUGCUAAACUUACACUUCUCUGUCAUUCUGAAAAUG
rnacentral:lncRNA from 1 species